CUAUGCGCCUUGCCAGCCCGCUCAGGUGUGCCAGCCGCCGCGGUAAUACGUAGGUGGCAAGCGUUGUCCGGAUUUACUGGGUGUAAAGGGCGUGUAGCCGGGCUGACAAGUCAGAUGUGAAAUCCGGGGGCUCAACCCCCGAACUGCAUUUGAAACUGUUGGUCUUGAGUAUCGGAGAGGCAGGCGGAAUUCCUAGUGUAGCGGUGAAAUGCGUAGAUAUUAGGAGGAACACCAGUGGCGAAGGCGAUUCUCUGGACUGUAACUGACGCUGAGGCUCGAAAGCGUGGGGAGCAAACAGG
rnacentral:rRNA from 1 species